rnacentral:lncRNA from 1 species
UGCGUCAUUGUAAAGUUAAAGGUCUUGAAUUAUGCAGCAGCAUUUACAAUUUAGAAAUGAUACUUAAAACAAAAUUUGAAUAUAUAAAACAAAUGGAGAAUUUGUAAAUUUACAAGGCACACAUGACUACCUAUUCGCUUCAAUCUCAAUGUGAAGUUAAAUUUGCAGCUUGGACUCCAUAUACUUGUCUACUAGAUUGUAGGAAUUCAAUGUGUCAUCUCUAUAGGCAUGUACUGUAUAUGAUCCCAUACUGGGUAAGCAGAGGUUUGGUCUUACCAUCCAUUUUGGUUGCCUCCCUAAUUUUCUGCCCUUCAAACUUCUCAACUAUACAGUCAGUUGCAACUUCUCCUCAUUGUUCAUUAUCUUUAGUUAACUUUCUUUUGGUUCUAACCAUGAU